rnacentral:rRNA from 1 species
ACGAACGCUGGCGGCGUGCCUAAUACAUGCAAGUUGAGCGCUGAAGGUUGGUACUUGUACCAACUGGAUGAGCAGCGAACGGGUGAGUAACGCGUGGGGAAUCUGCCUUUGAGCGGGGGACAACAUUUGGAGACGAAUGCUAAUACCGCAUAAAAACUUUAAACACAAGUUUUAAGUUUGAAAGAUGCAAUUGCAUCACUCAAAGAUGAUCCCGCGUUGUAUUAGCUAGUUGGUGAGGUAAAGGCUCACCAAGGCGAUGAUACAUAGCCGACCUGAGAGGGUGAUCGGCCACAUUGGGACUGAGACACGGCCCAAACUCCUACGGGAGGCAGCAGUAGGGAAUCUUCGGCAAUGGACGAAAGUCUGACCGAGCAACGCCGCGUGAGUGAAGAAGGUUUUCGGAUCGUAAAACUCUGUUGGUAGAGAAGAACGUUGGUGAGAGUGGAAAGCUCAUCAAGUGACGGUAACUACCCAGAAAGGGACGGCUAACUACGUG